rnacentral:lncRNA from 1 species
ACUUGUAGUGAAACUCAAUCUUUUUAAUUAUCUGCAUUUAAUAUCUAUAGUUGGUCAACGAUGACACUGCGAGCAUUGUAUCUUCUCUAUCUUCUGAUCGUGCCAGUCAUGGGCGAAGCGAGAGUGUGGUUUCUGCUGCUGAUUAUUUUAGUCGCUCCAAUCGUAGGGGAAGUGUUGUCUCUGAGGUUGAUAACAUCAGUAUUCCAGAUACGACCAGUGUGAGUGUAUUGCAUGUCACAAUGAUUCUUUCUUACACUUGUGACUAACAGUUAAUAUGGUAACUUUUUAAAAAUUAGGAACUUUAAUUUACUGCCUAGGAAAUACUUAUUUGAAUCUACUAACA